rnacentral:rRNA from 1 species
CGGGUGAGUAACGCGUAGAUAAUCUGCCUUAGACUCUGGGAUAACAUCUCGAAAGGGGUGCUAAUACCGGAUAAGCCCACGGGGACGUGAGUUCUUGCGGGAAAAGGGGGCCUCUGCAUAUGCUCUUGAUCUAAGAUGAGUCUGCGUACCAUUAGCUUGUUGGUAGGGUAAUGGCCUACCAAGGCGACGAUGGUUAGCUGGUCUGAGAGGAUGAUCAGCCACACUGGGACUGAGACACGGCCCAGACUCCUACGGGAGGCAGCAGUGGGGAAUUUUGCGCAAUGGGGGAAACCCUGACGCAGCAACGCCGCGUGAGUGAUGAAGGCUUUCGGGUCGUAAAGCUCUGUCUAGAGGGAAGAAGUGAUAUUUGGUUAAUACCCAGAUUUCUUGACGGUACCUCUGAAGGAAGCACCGGCUAACUCCGUGCCAGCAGCCGCGGUAAUACGGAGGGUGCAAGCGUUGUUCGGGAUUAUUGGGCGUAAAGCGCGUGUAGGCGGUUUGUUAAGUCUGAUGUGAAAGCCCUGGGCUCAACCUGGGAAGUGCAUUGGAAACUGGCAGACUUGAAUACGGGAGAGGGUAGUGGAAUUCCGAGUGUAGGAGUGAAAUCCGUAGAUAUUCGGAGGAACACCGGUGGCGAAGGCGGCUACCUGGACCGAUAUUGACGCUGAGACGCGAAAGCGUGGGUAGCAAACAGGAUUAGAUACCCUGGUAGUCCACGCCGUAAACGAUGUUUUCUAGGUGUUGC